UUCCUGUUUAAAAUGUGGUAGGGGGAGGGUGUGGACCGAUGGAGAUAACAGUGGGUGAUGAUUCCAUAGAUUAAACUGGUAUUCAUAGUCAAAGAAUUGUAAUUAUUCAGCAGAUACGCUACAGUAUAUGCCUCAAAUAAAAUUGCCGAAAAUAAUAUCCGCCCACUGGAGUCUUUUGACGUUUACACCUUGUUAUCCUCCUCAUCAAGACGUGCACCCAAGCAUCAAACCUAGUCAUUAUUUUGAUAAAGGUAGCAACCUACCCGAAAUUUAGUUCUUAUCAGUUGAAACACUGUGGUGAUACGCUGACACUUUUUUUCUAGCAAGACAUCGAUUCAAGUAGGGUCUCAAAGAUCCAAACCAAGUAAGAACUAACAAUGCAAUUUUUAUUUCAGCUUCUUUAUCACAUGUACUCGCCCAUUUUUGUAAACCAAUUUUUAUUUGUUAUUCUUGUGGAUAUUUUAGGUCAUUAUUUUGAUAAAGGUAGCAACAGCUGCCAGGAAUUUAGUUCUCUUAUCAGAGUGAAACACUGUCUGGUGGCAGUGUAGUUUUCUGUGUUUAUUGACAAUUUUUUCUAGUGUGUUGUUUUUCCAUAUUCACUUUAGACAAGAAGGUGCUAUAUAGUGUACUUUCUUGUAUCUUUCUUCAUUCUGGAAUAAAUUUGAAUGUCUGUAUAGCGUUUAAAAUGGUUGUAUCGUCCCACAUAAUGGGCAUGUAUUUGACAAAAAAUAAAUAAGUGUGAAAAAAAAACUUGGUUUCUGUGUCUCAUUUCUUGAAAUCGUAGCGUAAUUGUCCUAGCAACAUACUAUAUACUUGACAUUGUUUUCUUAUUUAGUAAGUGUAUCAUCUGCUUUGACUGGUGUAAUUGUACUAUGUAUCACGGAGAAAUGAAUAUAUUAUUUCUCUG